ACUCCAUCCUUUUCUUAUUUUGAACAGUUGUCAUUUUCUGCAAUUAAAUGCUCUAAGUGACAAUAUUUUGAUAUGGAAUUUGGGGGAAAUCUUGUCAGUAGUUUAUGGAAUAAAACAAAAAAAUUUCAUGUUCCUCAAACACAUAUCUAUGAAUAGGAAAACCAGAGAAACUGAUAACUUUGCAGUGGUCUAAAUUUUUUUCCUCUCAGAGCUGUAUUAUAUUAAUACCAACCAUCAAACACCAUUCCAGCAACCUUUGGGAAUAUCAAAGCAACAAUUUAUAUCAAUCACAUACUAUAGUUUGAGCAAAUGAACAGCAGUGCAGCCUUAGAAAUAGUUCAUGCAAGUUUUGCAGAAAGAUCAGUCACUGAUCCAUUUUUUUGUUGUCAUUAUGUCAGCUUUGGAGGGAUGUCCUAUCCCUGGUAAUUUCACUGUGGUUCCUGAUUUUAGUUACCGACUUAUCAAAGUGGACUUAACACAGGUUUAUACCAAUAAAACUGGCACAAUUCAAAUAUUCGUACAGAUACAGGCCUCUCCAUUACAUAUAAAAUUUGGGCUCCACUCCAGCCUCUAAUAAGAAAGCUUUGAUUUUGGGCAUCCUGUGCACCGUCAAGCUAAAUAAACCUCUUUAGUUUGAGCUUACUUAAGGUUAUUUUAGCAUGGAAUUAUUCAAAAGCGGUAUUAGGACUCCCUUUACCCUUUAUUUCAACAGAAAACUUCGUUUACACUUGAACAGUGUCAAGAAGAAUUUUGGAACAGCCAACGGUGAAGGAAUUCAAGUUUCUCAUCAAUUUACAAACCAAACACAGCAGGACUCUGUGUUUUUCAUCAUACGUUAGUUAGACCAGGAGCUGAGUCAAGUUUUCCUGGGGCUUAUAUUUUUUAAGGGAGAUUGGCAUAGAUAUGUUGGCAAGGUUAUAUCUAACUUUACAAGAAAUAAUCACCACACACAUUCAAAGUUUAUGAAAUCUUUAUUACUGAUUUUUGCACGGUUCUUUUUAAGUUUAUGUAGUUCAGUUCAGUUUCUGUAUCCUUAUUUUUAAGUUAUUAUCAACACCCAUAAUGUCUCAGGAAACAGACACGUGCCAAUUGACUUAAAUAUCACUAGCAAAAUUAAUCAUCAAUUUCAUAAAAAUAUAAUUUCUCACUCCUAUAUCUCUCCUUUAGGACCACAAAGACAAAUUCCAAGCUAAAUUAUUAUAUUACAACAUUCAAAAUCCCAGAUGACAUCCCAGUCAGUUUCAACUGAAGUUUUCUAUUAACCUCUUACUUUUUUUGAGGGCGAAAAUACCUGGGCUACUGUAUAACCUGAGUGAUGGGGCUGAACGAUGAUACAGCGUUCGCCAUGGGAACUCAACACAUCAUGCCGCCUGAAAUGUAGUCCUUCAGUUGCUUGCAGGCUGACAGCACUUUCACUUUGGCAUUUUUUACCGACCCCUUUAUUACUGACACAGUCUGAUAUGCUAGGAAACGGUAGGGGCUCUGAGUGUGCCUCUUCUGUGGCUGUUUCGGCCCUUAAAUCAUCUUCAGUGCUUGAAGCAGCCCACCCAAAAAACUUUGUCAGCUUAGACUGCACCAUUGUUUGGUUCAUGGAAAGAUAAAUUACAUCACCACACCAGGCCGAUCAAGACGCAUUGCAAUUGGUCAAAAGUUUGGCGCUCAUUUGGUCAUUAUGUGUAGUUGAUUUUUAUUGGUCACAAGCAUGUGCUCAUUGUUUACACUCUGGCUUCCCAUCGUCUCUUCACUGGGGUUGGAUUUCAGCAAACUGAGGGAUUUGUGGAGGGAUUUCUAGAAAAGAUGACAUGAUAAAGAUGACACAUACAUUCAUCACUGUGACAACUGCUAGUAAUUUUCUCUUCAUCACUGAUGGAUCAUGUUUGUCAAUAACGAGUGUGACGAACACAGUCGGGAAUGCUGCCUUACAUGCUUUGGAAACUCUUUGCGGACCAUGGCUUCAGUAGUUGUAUGAGGGACCAUCUUCCCCCACAGAAACACACACAAACUCACCUGAAAGUCGCCUGACAGUAACACUGUCAACCAGAUUGAUGAUGUUAUCAUCAAUGGCAAGUGGCGGAGAUCAUUCAGAGAUGUCCAAGUCUACAGAGGUGCGGAAGUCUUCAGUGACCUUCUUACCAUCAGGUUGAGGCUGCGGCGGACUGUCUUGCGGACACAACCCAGGAGAUGUUUAGAUGUCAACAGGCUGAAGUCUCCACAGGUCAACGAGCAGUUCACCAUUGAGCUGAGGAACCACUUUGCAGUUCUAGCCAGAGAGGAUGCGGACCCAGGCCCUAGUGCCAGAUGGGAGGCCAUCAAGAGGACCUUUGUGGAGACAGGAACCAACGUCUUGGGGUACAGGAAAAGGAAGGACAAGGAGUGGAUAUCACCAGGAACAUGGCAGAAGAUAGCGGAGCGGAAGGUCCUGAAAGCCAAGAUGCUGGCCACCAAGUCUCCAUAGUAGAGCUCAGGAGGCAUACAAGGCCAAAGACAGGGAGGUCAAAAGAGGUGCUAGGAAUGACAAGCAAGCCUACCUAGAAGGGCUAGCUAGGCGAGGCUGAGCAGGCAGCACAGAGAGGUGAGAUGAGUGUGGUGUAUAGGAUUACCAGACAGCUUACUGGUACGUCAUCAAACCACUCCAUGCCAGUUAAGGACAAGCAAGGCAACAGAAGAAUGGGAAAGCAGCAGGUAUCAACUCCAUCCAUGCAGAGAUGCUGAAAGCUGACCUAGACACCUCCAGUAAGGUCCUCACUGACGUCUUUAAGGACAUCUUGUUACACCUUGUUAAGCGACCUUGGGUAUUUUGAAAGGCGCUAUAUAAAACCAAACUAUUAUUAUUAUUAUUAUUAUCUGGAAUGAGGAAGCUGUCCCCGACGACUGGAACAGAGGCCUUGUUGUGAAGCUACCCAAGAAAGGUGACCUCCAGGCCUGUGAUAACUGGCGAGGCAUAACACUCCUCUCAGUCCCGUCGAAGACCAUCUGUAGGGUUCUUCUUGGCAGAAUUGGCAGAGCCAUUGACGGUAGACUGAGACAGGAACAGGCCAGCUUCAGGAGAGGCAGAGGGUGCAUUGACCAGAUCUUUACGUUGAGGCACAUCAUCAAGCAGUGCAUCGAGUGGAACACCCCUGCACACAUCAACUUCUGUGAAGGAAAUUUAGUGAAUGAACAUUCCUAUUCUCUUUGUUUCUGUGUGUUGAGCUCAAGUGGCCUAGUGUACUGAGAAAAGUUGUUUUUUCCACAUGCUGUAAUUGCCUUUCUGUGGCCUUGGCUGGUGAUAAGCAGGGUGUCUGGGUUCUCCCUAACCACGCAUCCACCUGCACAUCCCAGAGCAUGCCAGGUGCACGCUUUAAUAAAGCUUCAUAGAAAAUCUUGAGCCAAUCAUGUACAGAUGCGAGCAGUAAGCGAAUAUCUUCAGAGUAUAAUAGAUAACAUUUCUAAGACACAACUCAGAGUGCAUACUCUUGGCAUCACUGAAGUAGUGUCUUCUUCUCUUCUUCUUCUUCUUCUUCUCUUUCCUUUCCUAUUUUAUAUAUCUGUUUUAUAUGAUCUACUAUAAUAAAUCACUGAAAAGACAACUGCUAAGUGUUCUGGAGUGUUUAUUAGAAGUUUCCAUUACAAUUUGGCGUCUCUGGGUGGGCCCUACGCGUUUGAUCCUCGGACGACAGGACACUCCCAAGGCUAUGGUGCGGAGCUGAGAACUCGGACGAGAGACUAGACUGUCAGGGCUCACUGAACCAGUAAGUGAUAACUUUGCAUUCUUGUGUACAGAAAUUAAUGGAAACAGUAUUUAAUCCUGAUAUAAGAGACGGACAGAAAUUUGUCCUAGUCAAGUAGGACUGCUAAGCUGUGGUACCAUCAAUAUGUUUGCAGAAACAGAUAAAACACAAUUUUGAGACAAUAAACUGCGAGUAGUUUAUUGGGCUGUGUAAGAGAAUUAUCCGCCAAAGUGACGACUGGGUAACAGCUCACCUACUUGAGAGAGUGAAGUAAGGGGGUGUUUCUCGACGGAUUCACGUUCAGCAAUUCGUAACUGGGAAAGAAUUGAAAUUUGCUCCCUUUGUUCUGUGUGAACAACUGGCCCGUCGUAGGAAUGGGAUAGAGAGGUUCGAUCACGAAGUCGCCAAGACACACUGGUGUGCAUGCAAAAUAUUGAUGAGUUAACAGAGUACUGUCCUCCUCCAAAUUCUCAAACAGAGAAAUAGAUUUUGUACACAUGCGUGAGUUGUCUUUGAGGUUGUUGUGCUAAAUGAUACCUACUUUUAGCUUAAGAUAAAUGUCAGAUAAAUUGUUUACUAAUAAGAACAUACCUAAAGGAUUAUUGCGUCGCAUUUUUGGACAUAGUCCAACCUGUUCUUCUUGUGAUCCUAGUAAAAAACUCAGCCAUUGUUGUCAUAACCUAUUGAUAUAACAGUGUACAAUGGGGAACAGAAAUGGUACGUAAGUUAGGGAAAGAAAAGAAAAAAGCAAGUAAGCCUGAGGCUACAUGUGCUAUAAUAAGAAUUGGCUGUUCCUAUGACAGCCCAAACAUCCAGUUUAUGAAAACCUCAUAUGGCGAGGACUGUUUGGCACAGUUUGACAUAUAGGUAAAGGACUUAGGAUUCCCUGAGAAGGGCAGUUUUAAUCCCAGGCAGAUAGAACAGUUAGAAGAAAAGUUGAAACGGAAGGAAAAAGAAGAGUCUGCAGAUAAUGUUAAGUUCUUAGGGGACUGGAGGGCGUUUUCUGCAUGGAAAGAAGAAACACUUACAGUAAGAGAGAGUACAAAGGAGAGAAACGACAGGCAGGGCUCUCACCCUCUUCUCAGUGUUUGAAAUUUCAGAUGGACCCUGACCUGGAGUCUGCCCCACCACCCCGACACACACUGCCUCCUCAGCAAGGCGGAGCAUCACUCCCACAAGCGCCUCACCCACAGAAAGGGGGAGAAGUCGAGACAAAGCAAAAAAACAAACAAAAAAACUGAGCCUCUGGAAUCUCUCCCAGCCUACCAGCCGCCUCCAGCGUCAGCGCUUCUCCAUCACACACGAGAUCCGGUCUUGCAUAUGGCGACGGAAGACACACCCUCCUGGACCUGACCACAUGCUCACCAGUGGGUCCACAAGCCCGUAACCUAAAGUCUGAAGUCCUUCAUCUUCCAAUUGUGGGAUUGGCUGGACCGGACAGCUGAUAUCAAGGAAAGCAUGGCUUCUCUUCCCAACGUGAGAGAGGUAGGAGGAAAGAGAUUUGGUAAUGAACUGUUGAUGUUUUGCAAAGAAUUCUGGCCAACCACCCAUGAACUUCGCCGCCUACUCAUGACCAAGAUGGGUCAUGAGCAAGGUUUCCAGAGAGUGGCCAGAAGCCGAUUAGCGGAUGGCAAUAGUGAGUAUAGAAAUACCCUCACUGCUCUCUGUGCUCGUCUGAUCGAAGCUUUUCCCUUGAACAUAGACAUUACUAAGAUCAGCAUGUAUAAGCAAGAAGAUGGUGAAGUGGUGUCAGUGUUUCUCGCUCGUCUCACUGCCGCACACGAGAAACACAGUGGCCUGACCAGGCCCGUGACCCUGGCUGCAGUGGAGGGCACUCCUGAGCCUCACCAAGAUCGAGCAGUAUGCUGUGCAUGCAGAAAGGCUGCUGAAAGAGAAGAAGACAAAGUCAACAAAAAGAGACCAAGACCUACAUGCUGCCACCCUCACUCUUCUCCAGACUGCUCAGCCUGGACAAAGAGGAAGAGGUCGAGGUAGGGGCCAAGGCAGGAUGACCUGGGGUGACCCGUCCUGGAGGAAAGGCACAACCUGCUACAACUGCAAUCAGAAGGGACACAUUGCUUGAUAUUGUCUCCACAGUAGCAAACAGAGGCCCCGUGAGGAGUAUAGCAAAGCAGACUGAUGGGCGGACUCCGGGAAUGGGCCCCACACAGAGAACAGGAGAGGUAACACACACACACACCUGAUGAUAUACCGUACAUACACAGACAGGAACAUUCACAUAACGUUAAAAGACAUUAGUAGCAGCACCUGCAUGCAACAGCAAGACUACACAAACGCCCGAUACACCAGUCCAGGUAGAUACACCUGAAGUUGCAUUAAGUUUGUUAAAAUACACAACUACUCCCUUCUCUAAACUCCCUUGUAUGCCCCUCACUGUAUGUGGGCAUGUGUUGACUUUUUUAAUAGAUUCUGGAGUGGGACACUCAGUCAUACAACAUCGGGUACUGCCAGUAGACCCACCGCUCAGCUCAAAUUCUAUUCAGAUGAUGGGCAUCUCAGGAUGACCUGUAACCGAAACUUUCUCAGUCAACCUCCCGUGUAAAAGCGAGGGAGGAAUAGUUACGUCCCACUCAUUCCUCAUCCCACAUACAUGUCCAGUAAAUUUGUUAGCACACGAUUUAAUGUGCAAAUUAGGAGUAAAUCUCACAUCCACUCCAGAUGGACUAACUAUUAAAGUAAGUGAAAUGUGCGGUGUGCAGUAUGGUCUUGGAAGCCCCCUGUAUGUGUACGUCUGGAGGCUCUGCUCAGAUCGACUCACACAAACUCCCAAACACCUUGUACAGCUCGCACACUUGAACACUUCAUCAGUUGACACAUUAUAUGAAAGAGGAAGAUUUGCAUUGCACGGCACAUGUUCACCAAGGGCAAGAAGUUUGAAAAGACUUGGUUUGCAGACCCCCAUGCACGUGAAAGAUUGACCCUCAAAACUACAUAUUGGUCUAAACAUUAUUGCGCUGUGCAGGUCCAUCUUACUCGUUGUCCAAACAGCUGCAUCAGUGUUCAUCGCAGUGUUCUCAAACAUGUAAUGCACGGCCUCGUGUCAGAGGACUCUGAGGUUGGCUACUGCCAGCAUGAUUUCUUUGACAUCGUUAAUUCCAUACCCCAUGUAUCAUUAGCAAAGCCACAAGCCGCCCAUUGGAAAGACGUGGGGAAAUGGCUCAAGAAGUAAGCAGCCAAUGGCGAUGAAUGGUCCCAAACAGAGGACCCUAGUGUGUUGUUUUGCCAAAAGCUUGGGGUCUACAAACAAAGUCAUGCUAUGUGUGUGCAUGUUAAGCGCAGCGUAAUAUUAAGCCACUGAUGACCAGGGUCCUGGGAACCCUGGCCAUAGUGGCCUGUUUGUCUCCGUUUCCACAGGCAUAACUUCAGCAGAGGUGCACCCCAAAUUGGUGGGAGUUCCAAAUUCCAUUUGGGCAAAGGGUAAACAUGAUGUAAGCCUAAUAAAGAAUGCUGAACCAGUGGUGAUCACCCCCAAAAUCAGAUUUCAGGCCUAAACAGACCCAGUACCCACUCAAACCAGAAGCAAUUGCAGGUAUAAGACUAGUCUUUGAUUCGUUGCUGAAGGCAGGUGUAAUUGUCCCUUGCCAGGACUCUCCAGUGCGCACUCCUAUUUUUCCAGUUAAGAAGGCAAGAAAACCGUCCCAGCCCAAUGAGUGGAGGUUUGCCCAAGAUCUGCAAACAGCCAAUGCUGCGGUUGUUCCGCGUGCACCUGACGUCCCUAAAGAGCGCUCUGCAGACCACACCCACUCUGGAAUUGUCUGACCCCAAUAAACCAUUUUGUUCAAAUUGUAGAUGAAAAGGGUUUCAUGACCUCUGUUUUUUUGCAGAAACAUGAGGAUAGAUUAAGACUUGUAGCCUACUUCUCCAGCAAAUUGGACCCAGUGGUGGCUGGACUUCCUGUUUGCCUGUGUGCAGUUGCUGCAGCUGAAAAGGCGGUAACUGCUUCCAGAAAUAUUGUGGGGUACUCUAACCUCACCCUUUUGGUCCCACAUGCUUUCUCCCUGCUUCUGUUGGAAAAAAGACGUCACAUUUGUCAGCACAGAGAUGGUUAAAGUAUAACAUGGUUAUACUUGAUAUGCCUAACAUCAUUGCGAAACAUCGUUCUGUUCUGAAUCCUGCCUCUCUUCUCCCUACAGAGGACGAUGGAGAACCACAUGACUGUGUCGCUCUCACUAACGAUUUUUGUUUCCCCAGGGCAGACUUAAAGAGCGACCCUUUGGAAAAUCCAGACAUGGUCCUGUAUGUGGAUGGUUCAGCCUCCAGAGACGGGAAAGAACAAAGUAGGUUUUGCCGUAGUCUCAGAUCACGAGGUCCUCAAGGCGUCGUGUCUGUCCUCAAACCUGUCGGUGCAGGCCGCAGAGCUCUGUGCCCUUAUUGAGGCAUGCAAAUUGGCUGCAGGGCAAUCUGUCAAUAUUUUUACGGAUAGCAGGUACGCAUUUGGCAUUGUGCACGAUUUUGGCACCAUUUGGAAACAGAAAUUCUCUCACUAGCACAGGAUCUCCCAUUGCACAUCAUAAACUGGUCUCUGAGUUGUUGGAUGCUAUUCUACUCCCUAGAGCCAUUGCUGUGUGUAAGUGUGCUGCCUAUACUAACAAUACUGAUCUUGUGUCUGAAGGAAAUGCCAGGGUGGACGCAGCAGCUAAGUGUGCAGCCUCAGCUUCCAGUUCACCCUCUAACCUUGCUUUUCCGAAGGUUUCUACCCCCUGUUUACAGCUAGUGGACCUUCAGAGCACUGCCACCCAGGACGAGAGACGAGUUUGGAAACAGGCCGGCUGUAUCUUUGCAAACUUGGUCUGGGUUUGUCCCUCGGGCCAUCCCUGUCUACCAAAACACAUGUUCCCUUUCUAUGCAAAAUUGGCCCAUGGGCUCACCCAUGUGUCAAAAGGGGGGAUGGUAGCAGAAGUAACAAAGAGAUGGUUCACAAAGAGGUUUUCAAAUUAUGCUGCAAAAUUUUGCAAGCAAUGCUUGAUAUGUGCACAACAUAAUGCAGGUCAAGGUAUCAAACUAACUCAAGCAGCACACCCAAUACCAGACAAACCAUUUGCUCAUCUCCAAAUGGACUUCAUUGAACUGACACUUAGUGAGGGAAAAUGAGUCCCUUAAAAAUAAACUAAGCAAAGCUUGUGCAGAAACAGGGCUAGGAUGGACAAAGGUCCUCCCUGUAGUACUCACACAAAUGAGGAUGCAAACUAGGCCUAAACAUAGGUUAAGCCCAUUUGAAAUUCUGUUUGGACAAGUACCCAACACGGGGAUAGGGCCAGCCCAAGGAACACUGCCGGACACCACACUGUGUGAUGAUGCAAUGUUGAAUUACUUUGCAAUGCUGUCCUCUGCUUUGAAAUCAGGAUGAGAGAUGAAUGGUGGAUUCCAUCCACCAUUGUGAUGCUAUCCAUAAACAGGUAAAAGAAGCACUUCCCAAGCCUGCUGAGGGACCUCUGCAUGAUCUAUAACCAGGGGAUUGGAUAGUGGUGAAAGACUUCCGACAAACCAAGUGGAACAAGCCACGGUGGAAUAGCCCAUUCCAGGUCCUGCUCACGACCCCAACGGCAGUGAAGGUCACAGGCAGAGUGACAUGGAUCCACGCUAGCCACUGCAGGAGGGUUCCUGAACCGGCUGAGCAGGAGGAAAAGGAAGGCCUAAGUGACCCGGCCGCUGGUAAAGCGUGUGAGGAAGAAAGGAAUCACUGCAUGGAACAGUAGGCAGCUGACAAAUAUUGGUGACCAGAUGGUGAAAAUAGGCCCAAACGACUGGCCUGACUGGCCUCCAAACCCACACGAAGACUAUAACCCACCGUUUGACGACAUCAGCACAGCUGACAUGAAAUUAGCCCUAGCUUAAAACACUCAUUUGUGGUUGUUUUUCUGUUCUAUUGUUUCCUGGUCCAUGUAUAUAGCUUGCUAGCAUUAACUUAAGAUAUCUAUGUCUUACAAAACAGCCUUAGCAUUAUCCUUGUACACUCAAUGAUGUGUUAAGUCGAAUCUCUCUGGUAACUCUUACCACUGAAAUUGUGUACAUUUCUUUCUUUUAGCAAUUAUUAUCCUGUAGGAUAAAAAAGGGGGAGAUGUGGAGGAAAUUUAGUGAAUGAACAUUCCUAUUCUUUGUGUUUCUGUGUGUUGAGCUCAAGUGGUCUAGUGUACUGAGAAAAGUUGUUUUUUCCACAUGCUGUAAUCACCUUUCUGUGGCCUUGGCUGGUGAUAAGCAGGGUGUCUGGGUUCUCCCUAACCACGCAUCCGCCUGCACAUCCCAGAGCAUGCCAGGUGCAUGCUUUAACAAAGCUUCAUAGAAAAUCUUGAGCCAAUCACGUACAGACGUGAGCAGUAAGCAAAUAUUUUCAGAGUAUAAUAGAUAACAUUUCUAAGACACAACUCAGAGUGCAUACUCUUGGCAUCACUGAAGUGGUAUCGUCGUCUUCUCUUUCCUUUCCUAUUUUAUAUGAUCUACUAUAAUAAAUAACUGAAAAGACAA